AGCAGCCGCGGUAAUUCCAGCUCCAAUAGCGUAUAUUAAAGUUGUUGCAGUUAAAAAGCUCGUAGUUGAACUUCAGGCCUGUCCAGAUGGUCCGCCUUAAUUGGUGUGUACUGUCCUUGGGUGGGUCCUACCUUCUGGCGAAGCGGCAUGGCCUUAAUUGGUUGUGUUGGGGAACCAGGACUUUUACUGUGAAAAAAUUAGAGUGUUCAAAGCAGGCAAAUAUGCUCGAAUACAUUAGCAUGGAAUAAUGGAAUAGGACGAUGGUUCUAUUUUGUUGGUUCUAGGACCGUUGUAAUGAUUAAUAGGGAUAGUUGGGGGCAUUAGUAUUCAAUUGUCAGGGGUGAAAUUCUUGGAUUUAUUGAAGACUAACUACUGCGAAAGCAUUUGCCAAGGAUGUUUUCAUUAAUCAAGAACGAAAGUUAGGGGAUCGAAGGCGAUCAGAUACCGUCGUAGUCUUAACCAUAAACUAUGCCGACUAGGAAUCGGGCGAUGUUGACAAAAUGACUCGCUCGGCACCUCA
rnacentral:misc_RNA from 1 species